rnacentral:lncRNA from 1 species
CUAAGGGGACUAUUGUAUUUGAAAAAUCAAAAACACUCACUAAAUUCCCAAAUCUCCCUUUUUUUCUCUACUGUCAUGGUUUCCAUGACUACAUUUCACAGCUCGAUUUUACAUCUUAAAUGUAAAUGAUUUCUACUGAGAAACACUAUAUAGAAUUUUCAGAUGGAAGAAAGUUAAAGAGGUUUACUCGUCCAGGCAAAUGCUUCUGGCAAGCUGCACCCAGAGCCAGGGAUCUUCACUGGUGUGUAUUAUAAACUCUGGUAAGGACCUUCCAGAGUUGCUACUUGCAAAGAGAAAUCCAAAUGUGCGUCAUCUUGCAAAGAGACAACACUGGAUACAAGUUUCCCACUUGUUGUAGAAUAACAUCAUGCUGCUUCCAGAGGAGUAACACUUGCAAGCAACAGCAGUAACAACAAAAGCAAUCGAGUGACUCAAAAUUUACUUGGUCAAGAAACUUGUGUUCUCUUACAGGAGGCUAGAGGUUAGACAGCAUCUUAAACUAUGGGCCUUUUGUGGAAGGUGGAUCCUCUAGCAAAGUAUUUUGUGGAAG